AGCAGCCGCGGUAAUUCCAGCUCCAAUAGCGUAUAUUAAAGUUGUUGCAGUUAAAAAGCUCGUAGUUGAAUUUCGGGAUUUGUCAGUUGGUCGGGCUUAACUGUCCGUAUUGACUCGAUGGAUUCUUACCUUCUGAAUAACCAGCAUGCUAUUAAGUUAGUGCGUUGGGGAAGCAGAUCUAUUACCUUGAAAAAAUUAGAGUGCUUAAAGCGAGCUAGUGCUUGAAUAGAUUAGCAUGGAAUAAUAAAAUAGGACGGCAUGGUUCUAUUUUGUUGGUUUCUAGGAUCACCGUAAUGAUUAAUAGGGAUAGUUGGGGGCAUUAGUAUUCAAUUGUCAGAGGUGAAAUUCUUGGAUUUAUUGAAGACUAACUUCUGCGAAAGCAUUUGCCAAGGAUGUUUUCAUUAAUCAAGAACGAAAGUUAGGGGAUCGAAGACGAUCAGAUACCGUCGUAGUCUUAACCAUAAACUAUGCCGACUAGGAAUCGGACGAUGUUAAUUUUUUAAUGACUCGUUCGGCACCUUACG
rnacentral:rRNA from 1 species